GGGGUUGUGGCUCAGUGGUAGAGCGCUUGCCUCACAUGCAUGGAGCAUUGAGUUCAAUCCUCAGCACCA
rfam:Ictidomys tridecemlineatus contig106200, whole genome shotgun sequence.